GUCCAUGCUGUAAACGAUGAGGACUCGCUGUUGGGCUGUCACGGUCCAGCGGCUUAGGGAACCGUUAAGUCCUCCACCUGGGGAGUACGCCGGCAACGGUGAAACUCAAAGGAAUUGACGGGGUCCGCACAAGCGGUGGAGCAUGUGGUUUAAUUCGAUGAUACGCGAGGAACCUUACCUGGGCUAAAUCAGACAGGAAUCAUUCAGAAAUGGGUGAGCCAGCAAUGGCUUGUUUGAAGGUGCUGCAUGGCUGUCGU
rnacentral:rRNA from 1 species